AAAGAUGGUUGACCAUAGAACAUGCGCUGUCUCUGUGUCGUAUGUAAUAUGGUCCACGUCUUCU
rfam:Papio anubis isolate 1X1155 chromosome 7, whole genome shotgun sequence.